rnacentral:rRNA from 1 species
AACGAACGCUGGCGGCAGGCCUAACACAUGCAAGUCGAACGCAUCGCAAGAUGAGUGGCAGACGGGUGAGUAACGCGUGGGAAUUUCCCUCUCGGUACGGAAUAGCUCAGGGAAACUUGAGGUAAUACCGUAUACGUCCGCAAGGAGAAAGAUUUAUCGCCGAGAGAUAAGCCCGCGUCUGAUUAGCUAGUUGGUGAGGUAACGGCUCACCAAGGCGACGAUCAGUAGCUGGUCUGAGAGGAUGACCAGCCACACUGGGACUGAGACACGGCCCAGACUCCUACGGGAGGCAGCAGUGGGGAAUAUUGGACAAUGGGCGCAAGCCUGAUCCAGCCAUGCCGCGUGAGUGACGAAGGUCUUCGGAUUGUAAAGCUCUUUUGGCGGGGACGAUAAUGACGGUACCCGCAGAAUAAGCCCCGGCUAACUUCGUG